rnacentral:rRNA from 1 species
GACGAACGCUGGCGGCGUGCUUAACACAUGCAAGUCGAACGAUGAACCACUUCGGUGGGGAUUAGUGGCGAACGGGUGAGUAACACGUGGGCAAUCUGCCCUGCACUCUGGGACAAGCCCUGGAAACGGGGUCUAAUACCGGAUACAACCACUAGGGGCAUCCCUCGGUGGUGGAAAGCUCCGGCGGUGCAGGAUGAGCCCGCGGCCUAUCAGCUUGUUGGUGAGGUAACGGCUCACCAAGGCGACGACGGGUAGCCGGCCUGAGAGGGCGACCGGCCACACUGGGACUGAGACACGGCCCAGACUCCUACGGGAGGCAGCAGUGGGGAAUAUUGCACAAUGGGCGAAAGCCUGAUGCAGCGACGCCGCGUGAGGGAUGACGGCCUUCGGGUUGUAAACCUCUUUCAGCAGGGAAGAAGCGAAAGUGACGGUACCUGCAGAAGAAGCGCCGGCUAACUACGUGCCAGCAGCCGCGGUAAUACGUAGGGCGCAAGCGUUGUCCGGAAUUAUUGGGCGUAAAGAGCUCGUAGGCGGCUUGUCGCGUCGGUUGUGAAAGCCCGGGGCUUAACCCCGGGUCUGCAGUCGAUACGGGCAGGCUAGAGUCGGUAAGGGGAGAUCGGAAUUCCUGGUGUAAC